rnacentral:rRNA from 1 species
GACGAACGCUGGCGGCGGGCUUAACACAUGCAAGUCGAACGGAAAGGCCCUGCUUUUGUGGGGUGCCCGAGUGCCGAACGGGUGAGUAACACGUGAGUAACCUGCCCUUGACUUUGGGAUAACUUCAGGAACCUGGGGCUAAUACCGGAUAGGAGCUCCUGCUCCAUGGUGGGGGUUGGAAAGUUUCGGCGGUUGGGGAUGGAUUCGCGGCUUAUCAGCUUGUUGGUGGGGUAGUGGCUUACCAAGGCUUUGACGGGUAGCCGGCCUGAGAGGGUGACCGGCCACAUUGGGCCUGAGAUACGGCCCAGACUCCUACGGGAGGCAGCAGUGGGGAAUAUUGCACAAUGGGCGGAAGCCUGAUGCAGCAACGCCGCGUGCGGGAUGACGGCCUUCGGGUUGUAAACCGCUUUCGCCUGUGACGAAGCGUGAGUGACGGUAAUGGGUAAAGAAGCACCGGCUAACUACGUG